rnacentral:rRNA from 1 species
UACGGAGGAUGCGAGCGUUAUCCGGAUUUAUUGGGUUUAAAGGGUGCGCAGGCGGCGUGUCAAGUCAGCGGUAAAAUGUCGGGGCUCAACCCCGGCCGGCCGUUGAAACUGGCGUGCUUGAGUGGGCGAGAAGUAUGCGGAAUGCGUGGUGUAGCGGUGAAAUGCAUAGAUAUCACGCAGAACUCCGAUUGCGAAGGCAGCAUACCGGCGCCCAACUGACGCUGAAGCACGAAAGCGUGGGUAUCGAACAGG